rnacentral:rRNA from 1 species
UGAGGAAUAUUGGUCAAUGGGCGAGAGCCUGAACCAGCCAAGUCGCGUGAGGGAAGACGGUCCUACGGAUUGUAAACCUCUUUGUCGGGGAGCAAUAAAGCGUACGCGUACGCAGAUGCGAGUACCCGAAGAAAAAGCAUCGGCUAACUCCGUGCCAGCAGCCGCGGUAAUACGGGAGGAUGCGAGCGUUAUCCGGAUUUAUUGGGUUUAAAGGGUGCGCAGGCGGAAAGUGCAAGUCAGCGGUCAAACGACGGGGCUCAACCCCGUCUCGCCGUUGAAACUGUCUUUCUAGAGUGAGCGAGAAGUAUGCGGAAUGCGUGGUGUAGCGGUGAAAUGCAUAGAUAUCACGCAGAACUCCGAUUGCGAAGGCAGCAUACCGGCGCUCAACUGACGCUCAUGCACGAAAGCGUGGGUAUCGAACAGGAUUAGAUACC